rnacentral:pre_miRNA from 1 species
GGUUGGCUGUGUUGUUGGCUGUAUUGUCGCUUCAUCAACCAAUCAACCAAUCAAGAAGCGACAACACAGCCAACAACACAGCCAACCUAC